CCCUUAGAUGUUCUGGGCCGCACGCGCGCUACACUGAUGCAUUCAACGAGUCUAAAACCUGCUCUGAUAGGGGUGGGUAAUCUUUUGAAUGUGCAUCGUGAUUGGGAUAGAUGAUUGCAAUUUUUCAUCUUCAACGAGGAAUGCCUAGUAAACGCAAGUCAUCAGCUUGCAUUGAUUACGUCCCUGCCCUUUGUACACACCGCCCGUCGCUCCUACCAAUUGAAUGAUCCGAUGAAUAUCAUGGAUUGAGGAUGCAAGCAGGUUCGCCUGUCUUCAUCUUCGAGAAGUGAAGUAAAUCUUAUCAUUUAGAGGAAGGAGAAGUCGUAACA
rnacentral:rRNA from 1 species